rnacentral:rRNA from 1 species
CUUGCCUUGUCUGAUCAGUGGCGAACGGGUGAGUAACACGUGAGUAACCUGCCCCUGACUCUGGGAUAACCGUGGGAAACGACGGCUAAUACCGGAUAUGAGACGCCCACGCAUGUGGAGCGUCUGGAAAGAUUUAUUGGUCUGGGAUGGACUCGCGGCCUAUCAGCUUGUUGGUGGGGUAAUGGCCUACCAAGGCGACGACGGGUAGCCGGCCUGAGAGGGCGACCGGCCACACUGGGACUGAGAUACGGCCCAGACUCCUACGGGAGGCAGCAGUGGGGAAUAUUGCACAAUGGGCGAAAGCCUGAUGCAGCGACGCCGCGUGGGGGAUGAAGGCCUUCGGGUUGUAAACCCCUUUCAGCAGGGAAGAAGCGAAAGUGACGGUACCUGCAGAAGAAGCGCCGGCUAACUACGUGCCAGCAGCCGCGGUAAUACGUAGGGCGCAAGCGUUGUCCGGAAUUAUUGGGCGUAAAGAGCUCGUAGGCGGUUUGUCGCGUCUGCUGUGAAAUCCUGAGGCUCAACCUCGGGCUUGCAGUGGGUACGGGCAGACUAGAGUGCGGUAGGGGUGACUGGAAUUCCUGGUGUAGCGGUGGAAUGCGCAGAUAUCAGGAGGAACACCGAUGGCGAAGGCAGGUCACUGGGCCGCAACUGACGCUGAGGAGCGAAAGCAUGGGGAGCGAACAGGAUUAGAUACCCUGGUAGUCCAUGCCGUANACGUUGGGCACUAGGUGUGGGGCUCAUUCCACGAGUUCCGUGCCGCAGCAAACGCAUUAAGUGCCCCGCCUGGNGAGUACGGCCGCAAGGCUAAAACUCNAAGGAAUUGACGGGGGCCCGCACAAGCGGCGGAGCAUGCGGAUUAAUUCGAUG